UUCACUGUUUUCUCCUGCCAUAAGUGAGGAUUUUUAAUAAAAAUACUUAUUUAAAAAAAGUUAUGUUUAAGAUUGAAGAAGAUACAAGGGGACACCAUUUUUUACUUUAGAGAGAAUACAUGUGGCAGACAAAUCGGGCCAUGAGAGGUGAGGGUGAAUACUUUUCAAGUAAACGCAUUGUGGAAGUUUAGAAUACUGAAAAUGACUUUGCGUGAUAUGGAUGAUUGAAUGGAAAUCAAGGCCCCACAAUUAGAAAUUUCCUCGUGCAUUGGCUUCUAUGCUUGUGCUUUCUAUGUACUGCAUGGUAGCACUUAACCCACCUUUCAUCCCGAGAAAUUAUUUUGAGGUGGCAAUUGCUCUGUGUGUCAGAAAUGAGUUAUGUCACUGAGGGACUCUUUUGUGGGCUUCUCUGUUAAGUGAUGUGGUUUGUGGGGUUGACACAUCUCAGUUCCUUCCUGACUUGCGGCUGGGUUUUGCUUCAAGUCUUUUCAAGCACACAGCUCUUGCUUUAAGUCUCCUCAUGAAGUUAUUAUGGGAAUUCAUGAUCAAUGACCAAUAGCCUCCACCUUUUACAAAACAGUAAUGGAUCCUUGGGCAGCAGUUCUCAGGGGAAUUAAGUCACAAAAGGACUCUCUUUUCCUACUGUAUGUACAAAGGGAGGUGAAGGUGAAGGUGAUGUCGACCCAAGAGCCCAAAAGCAAUAAAGUAUGAGAUGAGGAAAAGUUAAGUGGGAUGAAGAAAUACUCACAAGGUGCUUUUUAUAUUUGUACUGUACUGAGUCAUGCAAGAUUGAAUGAGUCUGGUAGGACAACCCCAUUAUACAGGAAGCGUCCCCUCAUUCCUUUGAUUGGCCAAUGCCUAUAGGCCAAUGAUAACAAAACAUAUCUGGGGACCCUUCCAUUUGCAGAGCAAUAGAGCCACUAAACAUUGGACACAAUCGCAGUCCAAGGUCAAUUGGAAUCUCCCUUGUCUGAAUCUUAUGGGCUCUGGUAAUCACGACACAGUUGUUCAAACAGGUAUUCUGCACUUUGUAACCUAUUUCAUAUGCUUAGCAUGCUUGCAAGAUGAAUCAGAAUACAUGCACACAAACUAAAAGCUUGUAUUCAGCACUUGGUAACCCGUAGUCAAGCUGUUUAUUGGUGCUUUUUAUCUGGCAAAAAAGAUUGGUGUAAUCAGCAGACUCAGCGAUCAAAUCCAACAUGUGCUCAAUCUUUGAUUGGCUGCUGGCCGACAUUGUCAUUUAGGACAAGCAUUAUAUUGUUCUGCACGAGCAAUAUUCUUGAGGAUUAUUGCAUCCAACCAUUUUUUAAGUUUCUUGUAUUUUAUUCUUGUAAGUUAAAAACCUGUAGUCAAGGUUUUAAACAUCAAUGCCUAAAUAGUCCUUUGAAGUGGGUGAAUUCAGUCAUAGUUAAGGUAGCCAUACGUCAGGAAGUGAUCGAUGGAAUUUUUCAGUUUGUGAGGGAAAGGCGUUUUGACAAGUAGAAUCAUAGCCCAUGGAAGUCUGGCGGAUAUAUAAUUAUAUAUUCUUCAUAGAUGUAGAGAUACUCUGGCGAGUCACACUCUUGGAAGAUUAAUGAAACAUGGUCAAGCAGUUACUAAUAUUAAUUCCAGAUUCUAUUAAUUAUGGAAUUCGACAACUUAGGAUUUUUUAGAGUCUGGAAUCAACUGUCCUUCCAAAUUUCCUCUAUUUAAUCGGAUAUUAGUACUUUCAAGACAAUCUCAGGCUCUUCAUUUGCAUGUCUGGAGUUUGAUUUUAAUGGCUGGAAAUGCUUCUCUUCUUUUCAGAACAGUAAGCUAAAUUCCAGUAACAUUAGUGUCAUUUCUGGGGUGGUUUAUUAUCUGCAUUUUGACAUUAGUUUCUCACCUGAUUUCAAAUUCGUCUCCGAGUUGUUUUAUCAUCAGAUUUCCCAUAAUUAUGUUGGUUCUGCUGUUUCACUUGAGCUUUGCCCUCUUUGUAACCACUUUCCAAGUGAUAGAAAGAAUACGCUCAGAGGUUUGUUUUA